GACGAACGCUGGCGGCGUGCCUAAUACAUGCAAGUUGAGCGCUGAAGGUUGGUACUUGUCCCGACUGGAUGAGCAGCGAACGGGUGAGUAACGCGUGGGGAAUCUGCCUUUGAGCGGGGGACAACAUUUGGAAACGAAUGCUAAUACCGCAUAAAAACUUUAAACACAAGUUUUAAGUUUGAAAGAUGCAAUUGCAUCACUCAAAGAUGAUCCCGCGUUGUAUUAGCUAGUUGGUGAGGUAAAGGCUCACCAAGGCGAUGAUACAUAGCCGACCUGAGAGGGUGAUCGGCCACAUUGGGACUGAGACACGGCCCAAACUCCUACGGGAGGCAGCAGUAGGGAAUCUUCGGCAAUGGACGAAAGUCUGACCGAGCAACGCCGCGUGAGUGAAGAAGGUGUUCGGAUCGUAAAACUCUGUUGGUAGAGAAGAACGUUGGUGAGAGUGGAAAGCUCAUCAAGUGACGGUAACUACCCAGAAAGGGACGGCUAACUACGUGC
rnacentral:rRNA from 1 species